GAUGAACGCUGGCUACAGGCUUAACACAUGCAAGUCGAGGGGCAGCAUGGGGUUUGCUUGCAAACCCCCGAUGCGACCGGCGCACGGGUGAGUAACGGGGUAUCCAACCUUCCCGCGACUCGGGUAUAACCUGCCGAAAGGCAGACUAAUCCCCGAUGUCCUCCACUUUGGACAUCUUUUGUGGAGCAAAGGCUUCGGCCGGUUGCGGAUGGGGAUGCGUCCGAUUAGCUUGUUGGCGGGGCAAUGGCCCACCAAGGCUUCGAUCGGUAGGGGUUCUGAGAGGAAGGCCCCCCACAUUGGAACUGAGACACGGUCCAAACUCCUACGGGAGGCAGCAGUGAGGAAUAUUGGUCAAUGGGCGGAAGCCUGAACCAGCCAAGUAGCGUGCAGGACGACGGCCCUAUGGGUUGUAAACUGCUUUUAUGCGGGGAUAACCGGGGCCACGCGUGGCCCCCUGCAGGUACCGCAUA
rnacentral:rRNA from 1 species